AGUUCGAUUAUGGCUCAGAUUGAACGCUGGCGGGAUGCUUUACACAUGCAAGUCGAACGGCAGCACGGACUUCGGUCUGGUGGCGAGUGGCGAACGGGUGAGUAAUGUAUCGGAACGUGCCUAGUAGCGGGGGAUAACUACGCGAAAGCGUAGCUAAUACCGCAUACGCCCUUCGGGGAAAGCGGGGGACCUUCGGGCCUCGCACUAUUAAACGGCCGAUAUCGGAUUAGCUAGUUGGUGGGGUAACGGCUCACCAAGGCGACGAUCCGUAGCUGGUUCGAGAGGACGACCAGCCACACUGGGACUGAACUGGCCAGACUCCUACGGGAGGCAGCAGUGGGGAAUUUUGGACAAUGGGGGAAACCUGAUCCAGCCAUCCCGCGUGUGCGAUGAAGGCCUUCGGGUUGUAAACACUUUUGGCGAAAGAAACGGCGGGAUAAUACCCGUGCAACUGACGGUACCUGCGGAAUAAGCACCGGCUAACUACGUGCCAGCAGCCGCGGUAAUACGUAGGGUGCAAGCGUUAAUCGGAAUUACUGGGCGUAAAGCGUGCGCAGGCGGUUCGGAAAAGAAGAUGUGAAAUCCCAGAGCUUAACUUUGGAACUGCAUUUUUAACUACCGAGCUAGAGUGUGUCCAGAGGAGGUGGAAUUCCCGCGUGUAGCAGUGAAAUGCGUAGAUAUGCGGAGGAACACCGAUGGCGAAGGCAGCCUCCUGGGAUAACACUGACGCUCAUGCACAAAAGCGUGGGGCAAACAGGAUUAGAUACCCUGGUAGCCCACGCCCUAAACGAUGUCAACUAGCUGUUUGGGGCCUUCGGGCCUUGGUAGCGCAGCCCCAACGCGUGAAGUUGACCGCCUGGGAAGUACGGUCAUAAGAUUAAAACUCAAGGAAUUGACGGGGACCCGCACAAGCGGUGGAUGAUGUGGAUUAAUUCGAUGCAACGCGAAAAACCUUACCUACCCUUGACAUGUCUGGAAUCCCGAAAGAGAUUUGGGAGUGCUCGCAAAGAGAACCGGAACACAGGUGCUGCAUGGCUGUCGUCAGCUCGUGUCGUGAGAUGUUGGGUUAAGUCCCGCAACGAGCGCAACCCUUGUCAUUAGUUGCUACGAAAGGGCACUCUAAUGAGACUGCCGGUGACAAACCGGAGGAAGGUGGGGAUGACGUCAAGUCCUCAUGGCCCUUAUGGGUAGGGCUUCACACGUCAUACAAUGGUCGGGACAAGAGGGUCGCCAACCCGCGAGAGGCCAAUCAGAAACCCGAUCGUAGUCCGGAUCGCAGUCUGCAACUCGACUGCGUGAAGUCGAAUCGCUAGUAAUCGCGGAUCAGCAUGUCGCGGUGAAUACGUUCCCGGGUCUUGUACACCGCCCGUCACACCAUGGGAGUGGGUUUUACCAGAAGUAGUUAGCCUAACCCAUGAGAGGGCGAUUACCACGGUAGGAUUCUUGUUGACUGGGGUGAAGUCGUAACAAGGUAG
rnacentral:rRNA from 1 species